rnacentral:misc_RNA from 1 species
AACUUUCGACAAUGGAUCUCUUGGCUCUCGCAUCGAUGAAGAACGCAGCGAAAUGCGAUACGUAAUGUGAAUUGCCGAAUUCAGUGAAUCAUCGAAUCUUUGAACGCACCUUGCGCCCCUUGGUAUUCCGAGGGGCACACCCGUUUGAGUGUCGUGAAAAUCUCAACCUUCUCGGUUUCUUCUGGACACCGAAGGAGGCUUGGACUUUGGAGGCCUUUGCUGGCGUCUCUCGCCAGCUCCUCUCAAAUGAAUUAUAGGGGUCGUCUUUGCCGACCCUCGUCGUGUGAUAAUAUGUUUCCAUGUCUUGGUUUAUGGAUCUGUAGCUUUUGGGCCCCGCUUCUAACCGUCUCAACGAGACAACGUUCUUGCGUGUCGAACACUCUUGAACCCACGACCCCUUGACCUCUAGUCGGUUGAGACUGCCCUCUGAACUUAAGCAUAUCAAUAAGCGUAUGCU